AACGAACGCUGGCGGCAUGCCUAACACAUGCAAGUCGAACGAGACCUUCGGGUCUAGUGGCGCACGGGUGCGUAACGCGUGGGAACCUGCCCUUCGGUUCGGAAUAACUCCCCGAAAGGGGUGCUAAUACCGGAUAAUGUCUUCGGGCCAAAGAUUUAUCGCCUUUGGAUGGGCCCGCGUUGGAUUAGCUAGUUGGUAGGGUAAAAGCCUACCAAGGCGACGAUCCAUAGCUGGUCUGAGAGGAUGAUCAGCCACACUGGGACUGAGACACGGCCCAGACUCCUACGGGAGGCAGCAGUGGGGAAUAUUGGACAAUGGGCGAAAGCCUGAUCCAGCAAUGCCGCGUGAGUGAUGAAGGCCUUAGGGUUGUAAAGCUCUUUUACCCGGGAUGAUAAUGACAGUACCGGGAGAAUAAGCUCCGGCUAACUCCGUG
rnacentral:rRNA from 1 species